GUGCACAGUACCUGGCACAGGGCACCAAAGCUCUGGCUCUGUCCUCCUGGUGUCUGUGGGAAGAAACAGUGUGUUGAGUCCAGCUUGCACCAGCUCCUGUGGUCAUCUUUGCCUCCGCAGCCCCUGACAUCACCUUGGUAGCCUGAAAUUGGCCACAAUGAGACUAUCUACACCAUGCAAAGCAGCAAACACCGUGUUUCAGGAUUUUGCAGCAAACACACAUAUUGGGUUUUUGGUUUGUUUCCUGUUGUUUUUGUUGGCUUACCAGCACACCACUGGUUGUGAUUUUAGGGGCCAUAAAAAAUGGUUGUUUUGAGCUGGGUACAGUGGCUCACUCCUGUAAUUCCAG
rnacentral:lncRNA from 1 species